AAAUUGGUCUAACACUACUAUUUAAUAAAAAAAAUGUAAAAUGAUUAUUUAUAUUGAAAAUUCAAUGUCUUCUGGAAAAAGGGGCAAAAGCACACAUUUGUAGGACAUUAUCUGACCCUUUCAGAGUCAAAAUUAGCAGAAAAGUCCAGACGGACAUUUUGAGGCUUAGGCCUUAAAGGGUUAAAGAGAACAUUAUAACUUUUUUACGCCACUUUUUGAUUCAUUUUCAGACUUUUACUAACCUGAUGUUCCGGAAACAGACGAACCGACCAGAACCAGGAACAAAAGCGAACUGAGGAUCCACAUCGUCGGGGCUCCAGAUGAGGAGGUUCUUAACGGAACUCACCUGAGGAGUCCCGCUACUCCGUUCUUCAGAGACCGGUCUGACUCAAACUAUCACCAGAAGCAUCUUCCAGAACCAACUUCACACCGAACAUCCUGAAAGACCAACAUUCUGGAACAUUCUUCAGUUUUAGCUGUGAAGAAAGUUUCUAAGAAUUACAGACAUGAAAAAAAGGCAGAAUAAAAAACAGAUUCACAGAUAAACUAGUUUACAAAACGAAAAUAUAAAAUAAUAAUCAAACUACCAAAGACUAAACUCAACAGAUGUUUGAACAUGGACAGAUUUAAAGAUCCACUCUGAUGAAAAUGCUGUUUUUAACAGGUUCCUGCAGAAUUUUAUGACAUGUAAAGAAAAUUAAAAUCUAAAUUGCAUUUCUGAAUAUUUCUUCAUUCAAAUCAUGAAUUAGAACCAGAUUAAUGAAAGAAAAUCUAUAUAAAAACAGCUGAUGUUACUGACGAAUGUAUGAGACUAAACAUAAAAACUGAUGGAAAUGAGUCUUGAUCACAUGUAACACGGUCAUGUGACACGUGUGGAUUAAAUUAACUUAUUUUAACCCAACCCUGACUCCGCCCUGUUUACAUACAAAUAGUCACUUCUUAAAAAACAUCACAUUUGUGACGUAGAAAAGACGGUGGGCGUGGCCACAAGCUUCCUGCUCCGCCCAUUUCAGAUUCCUCCACCUGUAGAUAAACAGAUCCAUGAACGUCUUUGUUUUCCGGGUCUGAGCUGGAAUCUGGAUCAGAACCAGACGGAUGGAUAGAAACAAUAUUUCUGUCAUUUUUGUUGCACCGCUAACGUUAGCUUUGGGCUGUAAGCUAGCUGAAGAGGGUGUCAACAGAUGGAUGAUGGGAAAUGGGUAUGGGCUUACUCCAGGCCAACAGUCCUGUCUACAACUCAGAGGAGAAUUUCUACUGAACUCCUGCCGCUCUGCAGAAACUAUGUCUCAGAAAGGAAGCUGGAAGUGGUGUGAGUGAGAAGAACAGCUCAGAAUACGACCAAGAACAACAAAAACACAGAAUAAUCUCAACAGAUCUCCAUCCUUCAUCUGACUGUGUUUCAGAAACACUCAGUUCUUGAAAGAUUCAUCCUGAUGUGUUAGAAUUCCAUCAUUCCCGUAUAAAAACACAAUUUCUUCUCCCUGCAGGUUUAGUUUUCUCCAUUCUAGAAGGAAAAUCUCAUCGAUGUUUGGAUCUUCACAUCUCAGAAUGAUGUAAUCUCCAGAUUCAGCAGUAAUCCUCAGACCUACAUCAGAAGAUCAGAGGCUGUUCUGAAACAGAAGAACCGACCAGAACGAGGAGAAGAACCGAACCGAGGAGCGCCAUCACAGCCGAGUUUAUUUAGAGCUCCGCCCACCUGAACUCACCUGUGAGAUCACCCAGGUGACUGAUGUAUGGUGCAUGUCAGAUAGUGUGACACUACAAACAAUGCAUUAGGGGAAAUGGUGUCCUGACAGUUAAAAGUUCCAUUUAUUUUCAAUUUUAUGUAUUUUUUGUAACAAUUCACAUUAACUGAACACAGCAGC